rnacentral:tRNA from 1 species
GAAGGUAUAACUCAGCGGUAGAGCUCAUGCUUAGCAUGCACGAGGUCCUGGGUUCAAUCCCCAGUACCUCCA